rnacentral:lncRNA from 1 species
UGCAAUUGGGUAGCAUGUCUCAUGGCUCCCCGGGACGUUGAAGGAGUUUAGGCAAAGAGGCAAGAUUGGUUUAACUCAUGAAUUUCAUCUCUUAUGGAGUAGUAAGUGAGAACAUGAGAGUAGGAAACUUACUAGGAAGCUACUUCUCUCUAUAAGUUUAUAGUAGUGAAGCUGUUUAUUUGACAUAGUUGUAAAUAAUUGUUACUUAGGGAAUUAGUAAUUGAUGGUGAUGAUUGCAUGCCAUAAAAAAAGGUAUUUUUCAGUACUAAAUACAAAAUUGGUCAUUGUUGUGAGAUAAUGCUAGCCUAUGUUUUUCCUUUUGGGUGUUUCAUUUUCCUGGUUCUUAACAUCACCUAUGGCCUUUGGUGAAAAGCAAGGGCCAUUGAGACUCUGUCGUUGCUUUCAGAAUCAAAAAGAGGACUUGUUCUUUGCUCGAAAAUUUCCCCAGAUGUAGCAAAAAAAAACUUAAAAUCUACAUGUUCUAUCUCGACAAAGUACCUUAUGUUUUUCCUAAACUUUCUUUUUUAUAUUUUUAUUUUCCUUCAUUCAGUUACCCUCUCCCAUAGCUUUGAACUCAUAAUCUAUAAAUGGUGCA